CGGCGGCGCGGAGGAGCUGCGCGGAGGAGCUCCGCCUCGGUCUCGCGAAAUGGAGCGAGACUACGGAAGCCGGAAGCGCUGGGCUAAGCAGUUCCUGAGCUAAGGGCUGCUUACCGUUCUGAGGCCUUGGAGAUACAAAGAUGAAAACAACUGAUUCUUGAGUGGUGCACAGUCCAAUAGAGGAUCAGACAUAAGAAGAAAUGGGGCACAUUAUGAAUACACCUGUAGCUGCAUGAAAAUUUACUAAGAAGACAGAAAACCUG